rnacentral:rRNA from 1 species
AGAAUCAACGCUGGCGGCGUGCCUCAGACAUGCAAGUCGAACGCGAAAGCCCCCUUCGGGGGGCAAGUAGAGUGGCGCACGGGUGAGUAACACGUAGGUAAUCUACCUUUGGAUGGGGAAUAACAACCGGAAACGGUUGCUAAUACCGCAUAAUGCAGCGGCACCUAAUGGUGACAGUUGUUAAAGCGGGGGAUCGAAAGACCUCGCGUCUGAAGAGGAGCCUGCGGCGGAUUAGCUAGUUGGUAGGGUAACGGCCUACCAAGGCUACGAUCCGUAGCCGGCCUGAGAGGGCGGUCGGCCACACUGACACUGACAUACGGGUCAGACUCCUACGGGAGGCAGCGAGUCGGGAAUUUUUGGGACAAGUGGGACGAAAGCCUAGACCCAGACCAACGCCGCGUAGAAGGAUAGGUAACUCCCGUACGGGAUUACGUAAACUUUCGGACAACGGAACGGGAAACGGAAAGUAAACGGUAGGGAACUAAACGUACCCCCCGUAAUA